CUGCUCACUUUUUGCAGCUCAUAUACUAAAAUUGGAAUGAAUCAGAGAAGAUUAACAUGGCUUCUGCUCAAAGAAGAAAUGCAAAUUCAUGAAGCAUUGUAUAUUUUU
ensembl:snRNA U6 U6 spliceosomal RNA